GAGUGAGUUGAUACCAUGUCCUCAUCAUACACCUCUGUAACAGCAUUUGAUGAACUGAAAUCUAAUAUAUCACUAUAAGGCAUAAAACCAUUUGCAGGCAUGACUCCCGCAGCAGGAGUUCCAAUUUCAUUCACAUCAGGAUGUUGCAAUUGCCAUGUUCUUUCAUAUGAAGGCAGGCCCGUCACAAGCUUCUUUGGAGGUUCCCCAGCUCCAAUCCAGGCUGAUAGGCUUAUAUGCAAAGCAUGUUCAACUUUGGCUGAAGUGUUCCAAUUAAUCUCAUUUAGGAGACAGCCCAACGAUACUUAUAAUUUGUUGUUAAUUGAAUGUGAACGCUGAUCUCAUCUUAUUGUCCUAGGAUGGAAUAGCUUUCUAGUCAAUUCAAAGACUCCAUGUUUUCGCCCAACAUGAUGCAGGUGAGUCCCUACUCACAAGGUUUUGGGGCCUGAUUCCAACUAUCAAAACAGGACUAGUACAAAACAGUCAGCCACUGAGCCUCUUGGCUGUUUAACACAUUGCAUCAAUAGGCACAAUCAGCUUUUCUUUUUCCAUCUGAAGUUGAUAAUACUCUUUCAAAUUAAUGUACGACAGGCGGCUACACUAGAAAUGCCCUUCGCUACUACAUUUUGGCUACAAGAAGCAAAUGGUAGAACAAUAACAUGAAAAUUUGCAAAAACAAACAAUCAUAUUUUGUGAAUGUCCUGAGAGCCCAGCAUAUUCUUGGUAUCAAUGGUUUUAUAGAAAAAAAAAGAAAAAAAAAAAA
rnacentral:misc_RNA from 1 species